rnacentral:rRNA from 1 species
AACACAUGCAAGUCGUACGAGAACUCUUUAGCUUGCUAAAGAUAGUAAAGUGGCGCACGGGUGAGUAACGCGUGGGUAAUCUACCUCCGAAUUGGGGAUAACCCGCCGAAAGGCGAGCUAAUACCGGAUAAUAUCUUUAAGACUUCGGUUUUAAAGAUCAAAGGUGGUCUCUACAUGUAAGCUACUGUUUGGAGAUGAGCCCGCGUACCAUUAGCUUGUUGGUAGGGUAAUGGCCUACCAAGGCUUCGAUGGUUAGCUGGUCUGAGAGGAUGAUCAGCCACACUGGAACUGACACACGGUCCAGACUCCUACGGGAGGCAGCAGUGAGGAAUUUUGCGCAAUGGGGGAAACCCUGACGCAGCAACGCCGCGUGAGUGAUGAAGGCUUUCGGGUCGUAAAGCUCUGUCAAGUGGGAAGAACAUGCUUGAUGCUAAUACCAUCUUGCACUGACGGUACCACUGAAGGAAGCACCGGCUAACUCCGUGCCAGCAGCCGCGGUAAUACGGGGGGUGCAAGCGUUAUUCGGAAUUAUUGGGCGUAAAGGGCGCGUAGGCGGUCUCUUAAGUCAGAUGUGAAAGCCCGGGGCUCAACCCCGGAAGUGCAUUUGAAACUAAGGGACUUGAGUAUGGGAGAGGGAAGUGGAAUUCCUGGUGUAGAGGUGAAAUUCGUAGAUAUCAGGAGGAACACCGGUGGCGAAGGCGACUUCCUGGACCAAUACUGACGCUGAGGCGCGAAGGCGUGGGGAGCAAACAGGAUUAGAUACCCUGGUAGUCCACGCAGUAAACGGUGAACACUAGGUGUAGCGGGUAUUGACCCCUGCUGUGCCGUAGCUAACGCAUUAAGUGUUCCGCCUGGGGAGUACGGUCGCAAGAUUAAAACUCAAAGAAUUGACGGGGGCCCGCACAAGCGGUGGAGCAUGUGGUUUAAUUCGACGCAACGCGAAGAACCUUACCUGGAUUUGACAUCCCGAGAAAUCUUUUGAAAGAUAGAUGUGCCCUUCGGGGAACUCGGUGACAAGUGCUGCAUGGCUGUCGUCAGCUCGUGUCGUGAGAUGUUGGGUUAAGUCCCGCAACGAGCGCAACCCCUAUCUUUAGUUACCAUCAAUUCGGUUGGGGACUCUAGAGAUACUGCCCCGGUUAACGGGGAGGAAGGUGGGGAUGACGUCAAGUCCUCAUGGCCUUUAUGUCCAGGGCUACACACGUGCUACAAUGGGCUGUACAAAGGGUCGCGAUCCCGCGAGGAUGAGCCAAUCCCAUAAAGC